GGGCAUGUAGCUCAGUUGGUUAGAGCGCCGAUCUUAUAAGUCGGAAGUCCAUGGUUCGAGUCCAUGCAUGCCUACCU
rnacentral:tRNA from 1 species